GAGGCAGUGCAAUAGCCCACAGAAGAGCAUAGGGGGCGGCAGGGUGGGGGGUGCUUUGCCUGGGUCCUGAGGGGAGGAGCUAGCUGGAUGAGUCCUAAUCAAGGCGAGAGGUGAUCCUGCCUGACUCCGAGCCCAGUGGCCCCAGAGGAUGACAGCCUCCGCUGCAUGUACUGUAACCUCACAGAGGCAGGAAGAAGUGGGGAGGGCAAGGCCACCCAGCAGAGCUCCCUUGCCCAGACCUGACCACAUGGCCACUUUUCCUGCGCAGGAGCAUGUGAGCACAAGCAUCCAGCAAAGGAGAACAGACAGAGGCACAGCUGGAAGCCAUGUGCCAUGAGCCACUAGCAGUCGUGGGAAGAAUGCCUCCACCCUGAAGAGAGAUCUGGGCUGUAUAUUAGAGGGUCCACUCCACUUUUCUACCUAAUAGCAAUAGGUGAGGACAAUU